UUAUGGCCAUAUCACUUUGAAACAUCAGUUCCCAUACAAUCACUGAAGUUAAGCAACGUGAAGUCUGGUCAGUACCUAGAUGGGUAACUGCUUGGGUAUAGCAGGUGCUAUA